rnacentral:sRNA from 1 species
AAUCUUCCUAAAGUAAAAACACAAAACAGGCACGAAAACACAUGUGGAAGAAUAGUGAUUCAAGAAUGAACUAACAGUUGGUGCUGACACUUAUUCUUAGUCACUCAUUCUAACAUCGGCUUGCAUAUAAGCUCUUUUAAUAAAUUAUACUUUCUAUAUUAAAAAAUGAUUCUUUCAUUUUAUAAAAUCACCCUAACAAAUAUAUGUAUGCAUCUUAUCGUUGUGUUUCUUGCUAAUUUGCGCAAUAUGGCUUAUCACAUUCCAUUCAUAUUUGUUGUUUUGGUUUUUUACGUCUCCCAAAAAACAAUGCGAAUGAGCUGACAAAGGCAUAAUGGCCGAUGACCGAUAUUAAACUCAUAAUGACAAUUAGUCCGGCAACCCUGCCGUGUUCAGUACUAACCCAUUCGUAAAUACUUGCAGAUAAAUUGUAUGCCUAGCCAAUAUGCACUGACGCGCGUCAAUAUAUAUAUAACCUGAAAAACGAGCACAUCAGCACGCUGCGCUGGCACUUUUUUCUGCCCUCGCUUUAUAUUUGCCAUUACAAAACGAAACGUUGGCGCAAAGAGAAACGAAAGAAACCCUAGUGGCAACCCUCAAGCGGUAGCAGCAGCAACAACAACAAAGGAAAAAUAAGAAAAAGAGUAGGAGCGCACAAGGAGUAAAGCGAAAAAUAACACGAAAAACGCACAAAACACAAAAAGAGAGUGGAGGGAAAAAACAACACACACACAGACUUCAUGUAUACAGUUGCGUUGGAACUUAUAGCACUUUAAAUUUAAAAUAACCGAAAUAGACAUUUUAAUGAGUCACACUUUUGUGCAUUAGACAUUUCCCUAACGCUUUACCCGCUGCUGUACGAGUACAUAUAUAUGUUUGUGGAUGAAAUUCAUGUGAAGUUGCGGAUGAAGCUUACAAUGUGGUGGAGGCCGAAACACACGAGCAAACGCAGAAAAGCAGGCCCAGGGCAGCAGCAACAACAACUAUGACUAGCAAGCUAAACACAAAAAACACACAGAACAGUGGGGUCACAAGAGCCAUGUGUUUAGGAUUUUUACUGAAAUGUAUUUAUGCCACAGUACGUGAACCUUGCCAAAGCAGUUUUCCUUCGAUGUCGGGCCGGCCUUAAUUCGAUUAUUCCUAAAUUUGUGGUCCGUAUGAAUUUUGUUGCUGCAAACCACUGUGCCAUGGGUAUGUAUAGUGUGUUGUUCACAAUUUCCAAGUAAUACUCGUUUUUAUAUUUUCUUUUUUCCAUUGCUCCGUAUUUCUGCCUGUGCCGCUGCUCUUUUUCUUGCCUGUGCUUUGUACGCACGUUCGUUGGGGGAAUAAAAACAAAUUGAAAUGGU